rnacentral:rRNA from 1 species
AAAGUCCGUAACAAGGUCUCCGUAGGUGAACCUGCGGAGGGAUCAUUACACAACAAAAAUAUGAGGGUGUGGUUUGCUGGCAACAGCGUCCGCCCCAAGUAUUUUUCACCCAUGUCUUUUGCGCACUUUUUGUUUCCUGGGCGAGUUCGCUCGCCACCAGGACCCAACCAUAAACCUUUUUUUAUGCAGUUGCAAUCAGCGUCAGUAUAAUAAUUCAAUUUAUUAAAACUUUCAACAACGGAUCUCUUGGUUCUGGCAUCGAUGAAGAACGCAGCGAAAUGCGAUACGUAGUGUGAAUUGCAGAAUUCAGUGAAUCAUCGAAUCUUUGAACGCACAUUGCGCCCUUUGGUAUUCCAAAGGGCAUGCCUGUUCGAGCGUCAUUUGUACCCUCAAGCUUUGCUUGGUGUUGGGCGUCUUUUUGUCUCUCCCCUUGUUGGGGGAGACUCGCCUUAAAACGAUUGGCAGCCGACCUACUGGUUUUCGGAGCGCAGCACAAAUUUGCGCCUUCCAAUCCACGGGGCGGCAUCCAGCAAGCCUUUGUUUUCUAUAACAAAUCCACAUUUUGACCUCGGAUCAGGUAGGGAUACCCGCUGAACUUAAGCAUAUCAAUAA